UGCCCCACUGACUCUUCCCAUUAUUUCCACUGAACUGACAUUGAUAGCUCUCAACGCAUAUUACCUCUGCUUCACAUCUGCUCAUUACCCAACUCCAGGAAGAUAAACAUCCCUUCCACCAAGCAAUACAAAGGUAUGACACAUCCCAUCAUCCAGUAAUACAGACAAAGCAUGGCAGGAACUUUGAGGGACUCAGAUCCUGAGAGAGAAGGAACUGCAGUGGCAAAUUCUGAACAGAAGAGUGCAUGAGUUAGCUGUUACAGAUUGUCUCCUUUGCCUGAAAUGCUUUGGACAAGAAGUGGUUUGGGAUUUAGAUGGCUUAUCUGUGGCCUAGAAGCCCUGUGCUUGGAGUCCAGCACAUAAAUCUAUGUUUGAUUAAAGAGUCACUAACCAGUGGCCUUGACUUAUCUGAAAGAGCAUUCAUUGAACAAACUAACAAGGUAAAUAAUGCCAGUUAAG